rnacentral:lncRNA from 1 species
UGCUACCAACACCAAAGUGACAUCUCUACCGGCCAUGCCGCUUGCCAAUCCGAAACCCUCUAACCAAACCAGAUUCGAUCUGAGAACUUCGCAUCUGCUUUCAAAUUUAAGCGAUCUCCAUGCAACAGCUAGCCAAGAAGCAGAUAAGACAGUCAUACUUACUGCAUUCCGAGAAUUUCAGCUCCAAAUUUCAUCACAUCGUAUCCAAACUGAUCGGGAUGAGCCAAAAAUAUUGCCCUCUAAAUGGCUUUCACCUCUAUCUAUAAACAGAGGCCUCAAAAGGACCCUCAAAGUAUGCACUCUCUUUCAUGCUAAUGCUUUUUCUUUUCUAUUCUAGAGUUUCUGACUUGAACAUCGGAGGAUUUUCAUUGGAACCAUCUCUGGUCAGAAUUUAUUUUGCAAGUC